rnacentral:misc_RNA from 1 species
UUUCAAUUGAUAAUCUUACAAUAUAUUGCAACUUAUUAGGGCUUACAACAUUUUCUAUAUUUUCUUUUCUGCCUUUACAAGAAAAUAUAACCUUUUGUGCUUGCAUCAAGAGGAUAUGUUAUCAUAUGAAGUUUUUGUGCUGAUAGUUUAUGUUUAACAUUAUAAUUGAUGCUGUAUUGACUUCCUAACUUUGAUAUUAUGUAACAGA